rnacentral:rRNA from 1 species
AGAGUUUGAUCCUGGCUCAGAGCGAACGCUGGCGGCGUGCUUAACACAUGCAAGUCGAGUGCGCAGUCUUCUGUAGCAAUACAGGAGAUCGGCGCACGGCGCACGGGUGCGUAACACGUGGGUAACCUGCCCUCCAAAGGGGGAUAACCCGCCGAAAGGCGGGCUAAUACCGCAUGACAUUCCGGUGGCUUCGGCCGCUGGAAUCAAAGCCCGCAAGGGCGUUGGAGGAGGGGCCCGCGGCCGAUUAGCUUGUUGGCGAGGUAACGGCUCACCAAGGCUUUGAUCGGUAGCCGGUCUGAGAGGAUGGCCGGCCACACUGGAACUGAGACACGGUCCAGACUCCUACGGGAGGCAGCAGUGGGGAAUCUUGCGCAAUGGGCGAAAGCCUGACGCAGCGACGCCGCGUGGGGGAUGAAGCUUCUCGGAGUGUAAACCCCUUUCGACCCGGACGAAACACCCGCAAGGGUUUGACGGUACGGGUAUAAGAAGCCCCGGCUAACUACGUGCCAGCAGCCGCGGUAAGACGUAGGGGGCCAGCGUUGCUCGGAAUUACUGGGCGUAAAGGGUUCGUAGGCGGUGUGGUAAGUCGGAAGUGAAAUCUCUGGGCUUAACUCAGAGGCUGCUUUCGAAACUGCCGCGCUAGAGUGCGGGAGAGGCGAGUGGAAUUACAGGUGUAGCGGUGAAAUGCGUAGAUAUCUGUAGGAACACCCGUGGCGAAGCGGCUCGCUGGACCGCAACUGACGCUGAGGAACGAAGCUAGGGGAGCAACAGGAUUAGAUACCCUGGUAGUCUAGCCCUAAACAUCAGACUUGGGUGCCCGCGUGGCGGUCGUCCCGGAGCUACGCGUAGUCUGCGCUGGGGAGUACGUCGCAGGCUGAACUCAAGGAUUGA